rnacentral:rRNA from 1 species
UUACUCCUACGGGAGGCAGCAGUAGGGAAUUUUCCACAAUGGGCGAAAGCCUGAUGGAGCAACACAGCGUGUAGGAUGAAGGCCUUCGGGUUGUAAACUACUGUUAUAUGGGAAGAAAAACUAGUAUAGGAAAUGAUAUUAGCUUGACGGUACCAUGUCAGAAAGCAACGGCUAACUAUGUGCCAGCAGCCGCGGUAAUACAUAGGUUGCAAGCGUUAUCCGGAAUUAUUGGGCGUAAAGCGUCUGUAGGUUGUUUGUUAAGUCUGGUGUUAAAACUUGGAGCUCAACUCCAAAUUGCAUUGGAUACUGGCAGACUAGAAUUGUUUAGAGGUUAGCGGAAUUCCUUGUGAAGCGGUGGAAUGCGUAGAUAUAAGGAAGAACACCAACAUGGCGAAGGCAGCUAACUGGGAACAUAUUGACACUGAGAGACGAAAGCGUGGGGAGCAAACAGGAUUAGAUACCCUGGUAGUCCACGCUGUAAACGAUGAUGACUAGUUGAUGGAAACCAUCGACGCAGCUAACGCAUUAAGUCAUCCGCCUGAGUAGUAUGCUCGCAAGAGUGAAACUUAAAGGAAUUGACGGGGAUCCGCACAAGCGGUGGAGCAUGUGGUUUAAUUUGAAGAUACGCGUAGAACCUUACCCACUCUUGACUCUUCUGCAAAGCUAAGACAAUUCCCCGGG